CACCAUGCCCAGCUAAUUUUUUGUAUUUUUAGUAGAGACGGGGUUUCACCAUGUUGACCAGGAUGGUCUCGAUCUGUUGACCUCGUGAUCCACCUGCCUCGGCCUCCCAAAGUGCUGGGAUUACAGGCGCACUUUUAUUCUUAUAGAUGCUUUUCACCCAUAUCCAUGUAAAGGAAGAAGGACUACAGCAUGCCUUACACUGCCGGUGACCAGGGUGUGAUUGGCCAAACAACUCCCUUUGCCCUCAGAUGCUUUCGGUGAGUACUGAGUGACGUCAGGACUACAUCAGACACGACAUCUCAUCACGCUGGUGAUUCUUUUUGAGGAAAACAAAGAUCAGCGAUGAUCAGCAAAUGUCUUAAGGCCUCACACCCUCACCCUUUCCCAUUUCCUUGAUAAUAUAAAAUGGCAAAACGGCGACCUGGAAUGAAUUGUAAUAUCUAUAAUAGGCUUGUCUCUGAUGCAGCGUUGUUAGAUUGGAAAACUUAAUUCCAUCAGGGAUCAGGGAAGAAAAUUGGCAAAGAGCAGCAGUUUACUUUCAAAUACUAUUCUUUCCAAAUUAUUUGCUGUGAUUAAUUUUUCCAUGAUAGUUUCCCAAGAAGAUGAGUAUUUUGCUUUUACAGGAAGAACGGCAGCAAAAAAAGACGAGUGGUUAGGAAAUGCCAAUCAAACCAACUUUUCUAUAAAGAAUACUCCCAAAGGCCUGCUUCGUUUUCCAUCCCUGGAGGAAGACUGGGGAGGAGUUGGAGGGACUACAUGAAAAAAAUGACUUUCUGACCCGAGACAAAAGACCUUCUCUCUUCCAUUUUUGGAAUCGUGUUGGAGGGGUAAGUGUGGGAGAAAGGUAACCGGGGACUCGUGUGUGUGUGUGUGUGUGUCUGCAUGUAUAUUCCAUCUAGAGCUCUACAAGGGAACCUAGGAGACAAACCAGGAGGGAGGAGCGCUGGCUGCACCAUUCUCUAGGGAGAGAAGGAUCAUGAGGAUUCCGGCUAUGGGUGUGCUCAGGGAAAGAGUGUGAUCUGCCCAGAGUGACGUCCGUGUUUAAAUUAUGGAAAUCCAAGGCAGCCGUAGGUGAAUGAGCAGAAAGCAGAUUGAUUUGCACAUUAGAUACGCCACUCUUAAGGUGGAUGGAAAAGUCUCAUUGUUUUAAGGACAAAUAAAUAUUACCAGACUCAUUCUACCUUGUUGUUC
rnacentral:lncRNA from 13 species